GCAGGCUUCUUGUGCUGCCUUUUCAGCCUCUCUCGCUCGAGUUUGGGAUCGACACAAGGCUUUUAGUAGUUCUGCCUUUGCAGCACUCUCGGAAUUCACUUUGCUAUUCUUGUUGCAGCUUGAAUCAGAGUCUUUGCUUUCACUGGAACUGAGUUCUGUCAGAAUCCUGAAAUGAACAGCCAGAAGUCAAGGUUGUAGACGUACAACCAUUCGAAUCAGAAGAACACAUCUCCAAUUUUUGGUUCAAGGACGACACUUGAUUCUCCUCCUUGUCAGUUUCUCUUGGCUGAAGAGUAUGUAUUUUCCUAAAAGGCUUAAUGUUUGGCUCUGGGAGAUCGCAGUUCUCGACAUACUCAAAUGAUUUCUUAGCAACCAAGGAAGCCAAAUCGUCUUUUCCUGUAGUGCGCCACCAAGGCUGAGAUUUUUCAGCUCCCAACCAAUGUGGUUCAAAAUCAGACGAUGUACUUUUACAAUGUUCCGAGAUCAAGAAACUAGUAGCAUCAUCUGAAAACCAGAAUUCCCCUUCAUUUUUCUUCUUAGGUGUUAAAUACAAGUCACUGUUCAAUGAAGCCUCAAUUUUCGACGUUCGAGUAUCACUAUUCUUCAUAUAUUUUGGAUAGACAUUCCAUUGCUGCUCUAUAGCUGCAGUAGCAGCAUUUCCAACAAAUGAAACAGCAUCGAAGUUUUU
rnacentral:lncRNA from 1 species